rnacentral:lncRNA from 1 species
AGAAACCAAAGAAAAUGAAAGAGAACAAAAAAUAAAGGAAAUAUUUAUACUAACAGUUUGUGAAAAUCUACAGUGAACCCUUGCAUUAAAGUUUUCAAGUUGCACCCUUAGAGAGAAAGAUUGCAGCUUUUGCAUUCAAAAUGCCGUAAAAAUAAGCAAUUCUUGAAUUAGGGGGUUGAAGAGAAGAGGAUAAAGACAUCCUUUGUCAGCAAAAUUGCAGCCGGUGAAAGAAUUCCAUAUAAAAAGGGAUAAGAUUUAAACAGCUUUGAGGUAAAGUCUGCUGAUUACCCUUUUCGUUUUUUGUUUAAUUAUGCUUAAAUGUUUUCUGGUCUUGAAUUUGUUGAUUAGGGAAGAGUAAAUAGGACCUCAAAUUCUUCAUUAUCAAUCUCGUUUGUUAUAGUUAGUAAAUUACUCAGGAAUAGGUCUUUUUGGUGUUUUGUUUCUUUCUACCAGUUUUUGUUCUGCUAAGGUCUUUAUAUGCUAAUUGCUUUUUGACUUAAACUAGUCCGAUGCAAGGAAUCCCGCAUUCACACGCAGUGGAGAAGCCUUCGCCACAUGGGCAUAAGGGGAAUUGUCCACCCUUUGUCAAAAAAUUACAAGGUGUAUAUAUAUAAAAUAUUGCAUUUUAGAGGUAUAUAAUAAAAAUUAAACACCCUUUGUCUGAAUUUUUUUACUUUUUUAGCAAAAUUCCUAGCUUCGCCACUGUUUACCCGGUGUCUACCCUAAAUGCUAAUUGCUUUUUGACUUGAUAAGAAUAAAAUUGACAUUUUUAUUCUUAUUCUAUGUGAAACUUUGGAACUCAAC